GGGGAAGUACUCAAGAGGCUCAAGAGGCGCCCCUGCUAAGGGUGUAGGUCGUUAAUUCGGCGCGAGGGUUCGAAUCCCUCCUUCUCCGCCA
rnacentral:tRNA from 3 species